UACGUAGGGUCCGAGCGUUGUCCGGAAUUAUUGGGCGUAAAGGGCUCGUAGGCGGUUUGUCACGUCGGGAGUGAAAACUCAGGGCUCAACCCUGAGCGUGCUUCCGAUACGGGCCGACUAGAGGUAUGCAGGGGAGAACGGAAUUCCUGGUGUAGCGGUGGAAUGCGCAGAUAUCAGGAGGAACACCAACGGCGAAGGCAGCACUCUGGGCCGGUACCAUCGUCAGGCACGAAAGCGUGGGGAGCAAACAGG
rnacentral:rRNA from 1 species